ACCAUCUGUAACAUUUUAAGCAACACGCUCUCGUAUAUAGUUUUCCAUGCGGUGUUACCACACACUUUGCGAGAAGUCAAUAUUACUUAUAAACACGUCAAGAGGAGUGGACCGCAUAAUUCAAGGAACCAUUAAAGGGGAAUAUCAAUGGCUAUCACGAGCAGUUAUUCCUGGCAAUUUGCUAGCUCUGAUGUUUACUCGUCGGAGAAGAAAAGAAGACUGAUACGGCAACAGUCCAAAUCAAUCAUUUUACGACUUUACAGAUAGCGACGUAGAAAAU